ensembl:processed_transcript 4930594M22Rik RIKEN cDNA 4930594M22 gene
AUUCCGCUGGCUGGUGACAGAGUCCCUAAGCCGCCCCCAGGCUCCCAGUCCCAGCCCGCCUCGGCGCCUCACCUGCAGUGGUCAGGGGAAUCACGAGGAGCGCGCCCGGACCACGGAGCGGAAAUGCCCAGCUGGGCGGGUGUCGCAACCAAACCGCCCCGGGCGGCGCUCCUGCUGGUCUCUCGCCGCUCCGCCCGCCCCGGCAGCGCCACGGAGCGCACCUGGCAGCGCGCACGCCACUCCCCAUGUGCCGGAACCGCGCAGAGCAAAACUUGAAUGCAUGAUACACAGUAUUGAAAAUACUACUUGAGAAGGCCCAAGGAGAACAUGAGAAGACAUGAGACACACCCACAACCUAGUGGGUGGAAGAGACAUGGGAUGGCAACUCAGUACACUACUAACAGACAUUUUAGACCAUGUUUAAAUCCUCUCCCAGAUACCAGUUAUAUCCAAAGUGGGACAUAAAGCACAGCAAAGCAACACUAACUUCUGAAUAUUCUUACAGCCAAGUACAUGUUCUGUAUGUUUUGGAAAACAAGCCAUCUACCUCCUGUCUACACAGUUUAGAUGGUUUACUAGUUUUCAAUUCUAUCAAAGUACCACCAAGGUUUUUAAAGGGAUGGUUGGGUUUUUAUAAAGAAGGCAGCAGAGGGCUACUUGGUAGAAAACUCGCCUACCACAUCCAAGGCCCUGGGACUGAUCUCCAGUAUCGUAAGAUAGCACAACAAGGGUAACAGAGCCCACCACCCCACCCCAAACCAGUUGAACCUGGUCUACUAUGGGCUGAGAAAUCAGAUCUAACCAUCAGCAUUGUAUUUUAACUAAGAAUCCAUUCCUCUCAGAAAAGACCUGAAAGCAGAUCCUAUGUGUACCUAGCUGUUUCCAGCAUGCUGAAGGGUAGGUAGUGUGGCUCAAUGAUAGGCCUCAGAAUAAAUGAGACCUGAUCACACCCACUCCUCAACACUAAUUUUCAUUACAUUAUGGUUUUCAUCACAUUAUGUUCAGGUAUGUUAGAGGAAAUUUCGUUUUCUAGAAAGACAUUAGCAUCAUUAUGUGUGCUGGGGUACUGGAUGUGCUCUUGCGGCUAGAAGUCAGUAUCAGAUGUCUUCUUAAAUUGUUAUCCAAUUUAUUUUUUUAAGUCAGGGACAGGGUUCUCACUGACCUUGGAGCUCAUUAAUUAGGUUAAUCCAGCUGGCUAGUGAGGGGAUCCUGUCUCUAUUUCCCAGUGUUGGGGUUGUAUGGUAUCUACCACCGUGCCUGGGCUUUUAUGUGGGUGAGGAGGGUGUGACUUGUGGCCUCAUGCCUGCACUGUGAGCAUUUUACCGAUUGAGCCAUCUCCCCACUCUCUAGAAAAGGUUAUUUUUGUUAACAUCAAUUAACCCAGAUUUAUUUUCAUUCUUCCUCCCUCCCUUCCUUCCCCACUCCCUUCUUUCUUUUCCUGGAGUCUCUCUGUGUCAUCCUAAGGGCCUCAGACACAGAGAUUUGCCUGCCUCUCCCUGCCAAAUGCUGGGACCAAAGCUGCAUACCACCACACCCAGCUUAUUUAUCUUUUAAACUCUAGGACUAACACUGGUCAGCAGCACACCCUGACUAGCCUGUGGGAAUGUCACUGGUCUGCAUGCCUUGGUUAGCCCACAGAAUGAUGGAUGGUGGAACACCUUCUCAUCAUCUCCUUCUCCUCUGUACCUGUGUUAUCCAGAAGUAUGAUCAUGUUGUUCCACGCCAGGCUGUGCUCCGGCUUCAGUACGGUGGCAUUUCUCCAAGCGUUCAAUGCAUCCACGUGGCGAUUUAGAUCUGCAUACUGAAAAUAAAGACCCGCCCCCCC